rnacentral:tRNA from 1 species
GAAUUAUUAAUAUCUUGCUUCUAACAAGAUGCUUCUCAUUAAUUUGAGAUAAUUCU